rnacentral:rRNA from 1 species
GAUGAACGCUGGCGGCGUGCCUAAUACAUGCAAGUCGAGCGAACAGACGAGGAGCUUGCUCCUCUUACGUUAGCUGCGGACGGGUGAGUAACACGUGGAUAACCUACCUAUAAGACUGGGAUAACUUCUGGAAACCGUAGCUAAUACCGGAUAAUAUUUUUAAUUGCAUGGUUCUUUAGUGAAAGACGGAUUUGCUUUCCCUUCUAGAUGGCUCCCCUUCGCAUUAGCAAUUUGGUAAGUUAACGGCUUACCAAGGCAACGUUGCGUAGCCGACCUGAGAGGGGGAUCGGCCACACUGGAAUUGAGAAACGGUCAAGACUCCUACGGGAGGCAGAAGUAGGGAAUCUUCCGCAAUGGGCGAAAGCUUGACGGAGAAACGCCGCGUGAGUGAGGAAGGUCUUCGGAUCGUAAAACUCUGUUAAUAGGGAAGAACAAAUGUGUAAGUAACUAUGCACGUCUUGACGGUACCUAAUCAGAAAGCCACGGCUAACUACGUG